rnacentral:rRNA from 1 species
UACGUAGGGUGCGAGCGUUAAUCGGAAUUACUGGGCGUAAAGUGUGCGCAGGUGGCUUCGCAAGUCGAGUGUGAAAUCCCCGGGCUUAACCUGGGAAUUGCGCUCGAAACUACGGAGCUGGAGUGUGGCAGAGGGAGGUGGAAUUCCACGUGUAGCGGUGAAAUGCGUAGAGAUGUGGAGGAACACCAAUGGCGAAGGCAGCCUCCUGGGCCACUACUGACGCUGAGAAGCGAAAGCGUGGGGAGCGAACAGG